ACUGUUGCUGACAUUAAGAAUUUUCUUUGCGUCGCCUGAACCGUUGAAAAAUCCAUUCUUUUGUGUAAGGUUCCACUCAGCUUCGGUCCCCAGCCAUCACAUUGCACGGAAUGGAAGAGAACUUUUCCGAGCGCACAAGGCAAGAUUAAGCAAGAAAACCUCAAAUCAACCAGAAAAGAACGUUGCUUUGAGGGCAUACGAGGGUUCAAAAUUCAAAAAGUUUGACAAAGCUAUGAAUUUGAGGAAAAAGAGGAACCGACUGACAGAAUCCGAUAGACCAGAAACCGAAAAAGCCAUCCUUGCUCUGAACAGAAAUUUACCUAAAAUAAGAGAACCGACUGAUCCGCCUACUUCUCUAGCCAGGAACACAAGAAGAUGCAAGUGGGAUCGGUUCGAGGAGGACAAAAGAAGGGAAUUUUGAGCGUGGGCGUUGUGAAAGCGACGAGGUUGGCUUGUGUGGGGAAGACCGGAUUUGGACCUGCGGCGGUGGGCGUCGACGGCAUUUGAGGAGGAUGAGAAUACCGUCUGUCAGGGCGGCAUUUUAUUUCCGGCCCUCCGGAAUUUACCAUCGGCAGCAUUACUGGAAUCAACAGUGCAACCCCAUGUGGGUCCUCGCUUAUGCUCCAAUCAAAGAAAUCGGGUAAAAUUAGAACCAGAAAACCAUCGUUAGCGCGGCGCGGGACGUGCAACGGCGAGCUCUCCACGCCACCACUUUAUGUUUCUG
rnacentral:lncRNA from 1 species